rnacentral:lncRNA from 1 species
GCAGAUGGGGGAUUCGGACAACCAGUUAAUAAGGACCCGUCAAUGCCUUAAGUCAGGACCCUCCCCGUCCAGCAGUACCGUUGUGACACCGAACGAUCCGUUCAGUAUCCUAGUCUGUCCGGUCUAGCGUGUUGCAGAAAACAAAGGGGCGCUGCAGACAUUUACAGGUGUGUGUGUAUGUGUAUAUGUGUGUGUAUGUAUGUGUAUGUGUGUGUAUAUGUGUGUGUAUGUGUGUGUAUGUGUGUGUAUGUGUGUGUAUGACUCCCAGCCAGACCAGACAACGCAACGCACCUAGACAGACAGCAGAAGGCGAGCCCAAAUGGAACAAGGCACAGAAACCCGCAACCACUUGGGAAUUCGCCAUUAGGCUUGUGUCAGAUGUGGCCCAUAUUUUCUGACACUAAGUAUACGCAUCUCCACAUGCAGCCCUUCUCAACCCAAAGAUGAGUCAUGAUUAAAAGGUUGCCAAAAUACGUUCGUUCGUCUCAAGGAGGCGCUGCCCAUCAUUUAAGUAGCGAGGGCUCGAUAGAGCCAUGAACUUCUAAGCGCGAUGCCGGUUACGUGCGCGCUGCGGAUGCAGGCAUGACCGUUGAUAACCGUCGAUUCGAAUGGGUUCUCCUUUUUAGGAAGGACACAACUGGACACGUAAUGGUCUUUAGCUAAGGCGUGUAUGAUUCAGGGUUCCAGCUUAUGACGUAAUAAAUAGGUCACCUAAGCUGUUUUAACGCCACGGGUACCCUGUAUUGCCUUCUUCGCCGGACGAGCGUUGCGGGCCAUGGAGCUCGUACCCGUAGGAGUGUUUCAAAUAUGCACGGUCGAUAUCAGCUUUCAUGGACCCUCCGCUACAUAGAUUAAUUUUGAAUUUCAAUGUGAUUAGCUUUCAUACGUUUCAUUGUCCUGCGCCCGUCAAGGCAUCGACUUGCGUCCAGAUUCCCUUGUUUACUCAAAUAUACAGGCACAAUUGUCUAAUCCAAACGUACUUUAAGUCGAAUUUUUCCGCAGCCAGUCACGGGACUGGUUCCUGAAUGUAGAUCCCUUUCCGUCUCCGUACAGGGCCAAAUUUCACAUUUCCUUUCAACUACAGUGUUGUAAUUAUUACGUAUGCAUGAUUGUGAAAUCCCUGAUAAGUAUUAAAUGCCUGUGGGUCAAAUAAGAGGAUUUACAAUUUGCAACAGCCGGUAUUUGAUCUUUCGCACACCUCUUUCCUGGCUUGAUCCUGUCAAAGCGAGCAUGCGUAGUCUUUGAUGACUGUGGAAAACUUGUCGGGGAAACCCCUAUUCAAAGUAUCGCACGCGUCU